GGAUGCGAUCAUACCAACACUAACGCACCGGAU
rnacentral:rRNA from 1 species